rnacentral:rRNA from 1 species
GACGAACGCUGGCGGCGUGCCUAACACAUGCAAGUCAACUUGACGGAAGGAGCAAUCUGACCGUAGAGUGGCGCAAGGGUGCGUAACGCGUAAGUAACUUGCCCAAGGUAAGGAAUAACGUCGAGAAAUCGGCGCUAAUACCUCAUAAUGCAGCGGAUCCGCAUGGAUAUGUUGUUAAAGGUUUACCGCCUUGGGAUAGGCUUGCGUCUGAUUAGCUAGUUGGUGUGGUAACGGCACACCAAGGCUACGAUCAGUAACUGGUCUGAGAGGAUGAUCAGUCACACUGGAACUGAGACACGGUCCAGACUCCUACGGGAGGCAGCAGUGAGGAAUAUUGGGCAAUGCUCGAAAGAGUGACCCAGCAACGCCGCGUGGAGGAUGAAGGUAUUCUAUAUCGUAAACUCCUGUGAGAGCAGACGAAAGACAGAUUAUUAAUCUGGAUGACUGUAUGCUCAGAGGAAGCCCCGGCU